rnacentral:rRNA from 1 species
AGAAUGACUCUCGGCAAUGGAUAUCUCGGCUCUUGCAUCGAUGAAGAACGUAGCGAAAUGCGAUACUUGGUGUGAAUUGCAGAAUCCCGUGAACCAUCGAGUCUUUGAACGCAAGUUGCGCCCGAAGCCAUUAGGCCGAGGGCAUGCCUGCCUGGGUGUCACACA